AAUAAUCUGAUUAUUCAUAACCUGAUAUAUGCAGAUUAUGGGCUAUAUUGCUACAUAGAAAUUUUUAAAAAGGCAUUGUGAAUCACACUGA